rnacentral:rRNA from 1 species
CCUACGGGAGGCAGCAGUGAGGAAUAUUGGUCAAUGGGCGCGAGCCUGAACCAGCCAAGUAGCGUGAAGGAUGACUGCCCUACGGGUUGUAAACUUCUUUUAUAAAGGAAUAAAGUGAGGCACGUGUGCCUUUUUGUAUGUACUUUAUGAAUAAGGAUCGGCUAACUCCGUGCCAGCAGCCGCGGUAAUACGGAGGAUCCGAGCGUUAUCCGGUUUUAUUGGGUUUAAAGGGAGCGUAGUGGGAUCGUUAAGUCAGUGGUCAAAUUGAGGGGCCCAACCCCUUCCCGCCAUUGAAACUGGCGUUCUUGAGUGGAAGAGAGGUAUGCGGAAUGCGUGGUGUAGCGGUGAAAUGCAUAGAUAUCACGCAGAACCCCGAUUGCGAAGGCAGCAUACCGGCUUCCGACUGACGCUGAAGCACGAAAGCGUGGGGAUCGAACAGGAUUAGAUACCCCAGUAGUC